AUCCAGGUGACGAGUCCCAAAUAGGACGAACUGGACAUCCUGGAU
rfam:Trichobilharzia regenti genome assembly, scaffold: TRE_contig0000060